rnacentral:rRNA from 1 species
GAUGAACGCUGGCGGCGUGCCUAAUACAUGCCAGUCGAGCGAACGGACGAGAAGCUUGCUUCUCUGAUGUUAGCGGCGGACGGGUGAGUAACACGUGGAUAACCUACCUAUAAGACUGGGAUAACUUCGGGAAACCGGCGCUAAUCCCGGAUAAUCUUUUGAACCGCAUGGUUCAAAAGUGAAAGACGGUCUUGCUGUCACUUAUAGAUGCAUCUGCGCUGCAUUAGCUAGUUGGUACGGUAACGGCUUAGCAAGGCAACGAUGCAUAGCCGACGUGCGAGGGGGAUAGGCGACACGGGAGCUGAGACACGGUCCAGACUCCUACGGGAGGCAGCAGUAGGAAAUCUGCCGCAGUAGGCGAGAGCCUGGCGGAGCAGCGCCACGUGAGUGAUGAAGGUCUUGGGAUCGUAAAACUCUGUUAUUAGGGAAGAACAUAUGUGUAAGUAACUGAGCACAUCGUGACGGUACCUAAUCAGAAAGCAACGGCUAACUACGUG